CGUAGCGCCUGUAGCGCGGUGGUCCCACCUGACCCCAUGCCGAACUCAGAAGUGAAACGCCGUAGCGCCGAUGGUAGUGUGGGGUCUCCCCAUGCGAGAGUAGGGAACUGCCAGGC
rnacentral:rRNA from 1 species